rnacentral:lncRNA from 10 species
UCUGUCUUUCAUCUUAAACUUACCUCCUCAAAGAUAUGUUUUCCCUUUCCUUAGAGCAAAGAUCUCCACCCUGAAGGACCAACUCACCCAAAAAUGUCCGUGUUAGUUGGAAGCAGCUUAGAAAUGACAUUGUUCAGCAAUUUCUCAGCUUCCUGGGCCUUCUGCUUGGCCAGUUGCCAAGCACUGGAUUUCUGAAGCACUCCUAGGUCGACCUUCAGUUUCUCAAGGAUGCCUGCCAAAAACAAUCGCCAUUUUGUGUCACGCACCACUUACGAAGUAGCUACGAUGCUCCAGGUACCGGCAGGACUUUUCAAAAAGCUAAGGACAUUGUGAAUCUACCCUGCAGGAGUAUCUUCAGCACUUCCCAAACUUGCUCGGCCAUGGAACGCUUUUUGCAGGGUAUUUUGUGGGACUGCUUUACGGAGCUCACUUUGGGGACUAUGGACCUUGUCCAAGCUCUCAUUUUGAAAAUGGUGAAUUGCACUUCAGUAUGAUUAAAAGACUCGCCCCCAAGUUCACACCACUCUUAGUGAUUAAGCCAGGCAAGACGCUCCGUCUCUUCCCUCCCAGGUCAGCCCAGCCCAGCCCCUGACCCCAUCCUCUCACAGAGAAACCACCACUUUCCCCACCAGUGAGACUCGGCUUCCUCUGACCACAGGGCCCAGAACAAGGGUUUGUUUGACAUCAAGAUGGCUCCAACAGAACCCCCGCUGGUGUAGCUGAUGACAUUGGCUGGGAUGUGCCAGCCCUCCUUGUCUUCUCAUCCAGGAAGCAGGAGUGGGAGAGAGUCUGGGGCCCAGUGACCCCAGGGCUUGGGCAGUUUCCCAGUCCCAGUAUGUGAGUAGCCAAUGACCCCCAUAGUUCAACAAGCAGCCUUCCCAGUAACAUUCCUGAGACGCCCCAGAGAGCAAAGCAAGCUCAGUCUACUCUGUUUAUAAAGUUGGGCAAGAAAACCUCCUAACUUGAUGUGGUUCCCUAGGGGGGCAGAUUCUGGGCUAGGAAGGAGGCUGGGGAUGUCGAUAAGAGCAACUUUAGCUGUAUCUGCGCCAAUGGAACUUUUCACAAUAAGAAUGUAUUCCUGUAGUUCCUGU